ACACAUGCAAGUCGAGGGGCAGCAUGGUCUUAGCUUGCUAAGGCCGAUGGCGACCGGCGCACGGGUGAGUAACACGUAUCCAACCUGCCGUCUACUCUUGGACAGCCUUCUGAAAGGAAGAUUAAUACAAGAUGGCAUCAUGAGUCCGCAUGUUCACAUGGUUAAAGGUAUUCCGGUAGACGAUGGGGAUGCGUUCCAUUAGAUAGUAGGCGGGGUAACGGCCCACCUAGUCUUCGAUGGAUAGGGGUUCUGAGAGGAAGGUCCCCCACAUUGGAACUGAGACACGGUCCAAACUCCUACGGGAGGCAGCAGUGAGGAAUAUUGGUCAAUGGGCGAGAGCCUGAACCAGCCAAGUAGCGUGAAGGAUGACUGCCCUAUGGGUUGUAAACUUCUUUUAUAAAGGAAUAAAGUCGGGUAUGUAUACCCGUUUGCAUGUACUUUAUGAAUAAGGAUCGGCUAACUCCGUGCCAGCAGCCGCGGUAAUACGGAGGAUCCGAGCGUUAUCCGGAUUUAUUGGGUUUAAAGGGAGCGUAGAUGGAUGUUUAAGUCAGUUGUGAAAGUUUGCGGCUCAACCGUAAAAUUGCAGUUGAUACUGGAUAUCUUGAGUGCAGUUGAGGCAGGCGGAAUUCGUGGUGUAGCGGUGAAAUGCUUAGAUAUCACGAAGAACUCCGAUUGCGAAGGCAGCCUGCUAAGCUGCAACUGACAUUGAGGCUCGAAAGUGUGGGUAUCAAACAGGAUUAGAUACCCUGGUAGUCCACACGGUAAACGAUGAAUACUCGCUGUUUGCGAUAUACAGCAAGCGGCCA
rnacentral:rRNA from 1 species